GAGGUUCCAUUCGAGACGAGGGAGGUGGGGCGAGGCGAAGAUGAGAAGGCGAAAUCUGUUGAACAAUUCCUGGUUUCUCUUUCUUCUCGUUACGCUCACUCUGUCUCCGUUAAUCCCUAAUUCUGCGUUUAUUCUGUGUGAUCAUACUUACAUAUGUGUGCAUGUUUUUGGCGGAUGAUCUGAAAUUUCUAACAGCGAGUUGCCUGUACCGAAUCAUUCGGAUCGAAGGUGAAUGGAGCUCACGACGGUUUCGUAUGAUGCAGAUGCUAGGUGCUCAAAAACAAUACCUGUUUAUGAUUGUCGAAGCCCCGAGAAAGGCCUCAGCAUUUUUACCUCAGUGCUUGUCUCUUUGGUGAAGUUUCAGGGUUGCUCAAUAAUACAGAUCCCAGGAAA